UACGGGAGGCAGCAGUGGGGAAUAUUGCACAAUGGGCGAAAGCCUGAUGCAGCUAUGCCGCGUGUAUGAAGAAGGCCUUAGGGUUGUAAAGUACUUUCAUCGGGGAGGAAAAACAAAACUAAUAAUUUUAUUUCUUGACGUUACCCGAAAAAGAAGCACCGGCUAACUCCGUGCCAGCAGCCGCGGUAAUACGGAGGGUGCUAGCGUUAAUCAGAAUUACUGGGCGUAAAGAGCACGUAGGUGGUUUUUUUAAGUCAGAUGUGAAAUCCCUGGGCUUAACCUAGGAACUGCAUUUUGAAACUGAAAUACUAGAGUAUCGUAGAGGGAGGUAGAAUUCUAGGUGUAGCGGUGAAAUGCGUAGAUAUCUGGAGGAAUACCUGUGGCGAAAGCGGCCUCCUAAACGAAUACUGACACUGAGGGUGCGAAAGCGUGGGGAGCAAACGAGGAUUAGAUACC
rnacentral:rRNA from 1 species